rnacentral:tRNA from 1 species
GGGUUUUAGCUCAGAGGUAGAGCACUUGCCUCACACACAUGAGGUUCAGUUUUCAGCACCACAUAAAAAUAAAUAAAUUUUUUUUAAAAAAAUCUAAAAAAUAAAUCAGAAAAAAAGGGAUGGGAUGUGUGGCUCAUUGUAGAGUGCAAGGCUCUGGGUUCAAUUUCCAGUACAAGGGCUG